rnacentral:rRNA from 1 species
CCUACGGGAGGCAGCAGUGGGGAAUUUUGGACAAUGGGCGCAAGCCUGAUCCAGCAAUGCCGCGUGAGUGAAGAAGGCCUUCGGGUUGUAAAGCUCUUUUGUCAGGGAAGAAACGGCUGAGGUUAAUACCUUUGGCUAAUGACGGUACCUGAAGAAUAAGCACCGGCUAACUACGUGCCAGCAGCCGCGGUAAUACGUAGGGUGCAAGCGUUAAUCGGAAUUACUGGGCGUAAAGCGUGCGCAGGCGGUUUUGUAAGUCUGACGUGAAAUCCCCGGGCUCAACCUGGGAAUUGCGUUGGAGACUGCAAGGCUGGAGUCUGGCAGAGGGGGGUAGAAUUCCACGUGUAGCAGUGAAAUGCGUAGAGAUGUGGAGGAACACCGAUGGCGAAGGCAGCCCCCUGGGUCAAGACUGACGCUCAUGCACGAAAGCGUGGGGAGCAAACAGGAUUAGAUACCCUGGUAGUCCGCGCCCUAAACGAUGUCUACUAGUUGUCGGGUCUUAAUUGACUUGGUAACGCAGCUAACGCGUGAAGUAGACCGCCUGGGGNGGACGGUCGCGAGAGUUAAACUACAAGAAGUAGUUGNGNGNGAGAGCGACGACGACGACGACGGAGGAGGAG